rnacentral:lncRNA from 1 species
AUCCUUCCCUUGGACAUCAUAAGCAGCACACUUUUUAUGUGCUUUUAAAGAGAACACCAGUAGCUCAGCGAUCCAAGACAGCAGGGAUACGCUGUGGGUCAGCACUGGUGCGGGGUUUGUACCUGAGCUCCAGGGGUCUGAAGGUGGGCAGGGUUGUUGGGGUCACAAGGAACCACACGGGAACCACAGCCGCACCGGAUAAAUGGUAACUGCCACACCCAGGGCCAGGAGUGAAUGCACAAAGCAAUGAAACCCAGAUUUCACGCCAUCCAUUGCCUACAGAUGGGUUUAAUUGAGAUAAAUUACCUCGGAGAUAUGGCCAGCAUGAGCUUCGCACACCAGAUCCAUCAGGGAUAAACUGCUGUGUGUGAUUUAAUUAUCUUGCAAUCCUUAUUAAGCACUCAAGUGUGUGCAUGUGGCAAGAGUCAGCAGUUUUUAAACUAGAUAUCCUUUAAUGCCCUUUGUCUACAGAGACAAGGAGAACACAACUUCACCUGUAAUCUCAGCACCAGGGAAGCUGAAGCAGGAGGGCCGGGAGUUUGAGGCCAGCCUGGGCUACAGCGAGUUCAAGGUUGGCCCAGCGAGACCCUGUCUCAAUAACAAAAAAUGUCAGUCACUGCUCCUAGAAUAGAAGAUGAGAGCGGUAACCCGAGUCUACUUAGCGAUCAGCAGCACCACCUAGUGGUCAGCAGCUCGGAACAGCGAGCAGAAAGGAGUCGAAGCGGAGGUUGGAAGGGAUUGAACCCAGCCAGGAUAGCCCUGGAAAAGCAUCCUCGGCCCA